GUGAUUGGAGUCACUGAUGUAGUCCUCUAAUCAGAUGAGAUGAUGUGCUCCACUUUAUGAGCCUGUUUGCCUGAGAGCUGAAGGAAUCCUGAGGAAUCCUGAGAAUCUUGAGGAAUCCUUGCUUGACUGGGAAAACUUCCAAAAUGGUUUGCAAGGUACAUUUGAAUUCUCCAACUACAUCCAGUUCUGAAAGCUUUAGGAAUUAUGAAUCCACAUGCAAAAUGAGCUCUUAGUAACAAUCGGAAGCAACCUGAGAUUUAAUGUAAGGCAUCAAAGAGAAGGAAGGGCAGCUCUGGAUCGCAAUCCCUUUUGGGAACUGAGUACUAUACCACCACUACAGAAGAACACGUUGACUACUUCUGAAGCUUGCUAAAAGUGAAGUUUGCCAGGCUCACAGCAUGGAAGGAAGCCUGAGGGACCUCUUACAGCAACUGUCAACUUGAAGCUUUAAAAGAGCAGCUGGCAAUCCAUGAGCUUAUGGCUGUUUUACUUGGUAUUUCAAAGGUAAGCUUUUGUGUAUUAAAAAGCCUACUUUGCAAAGUAACUCUUUAUAAUAUAUCCUAUUAA
rnacentral:lncRNA from 1 species